rnacentral:tmRNA from 1 species
GGGGAUGACCUGGACUCGACAGAGAAGAUGGUGUCAAUCGCUUGCUAUUCGGGGUUUUGUUUAUUUCGGCCCGUUAGAAAGAAAUAUCCAACAAUAAGUGCUAAAAACACUAACUCUGUAUUAGCUUUUGCUAAAAACGCUGGAAACAAAGUUACUCGAUUUGCUCGAGAAACUGUAGCUUCUACUCGUUCUUUUGCUCUUGCUACUGCAUAAUCAUUUGUCCGCCUUGCGGGUUUUUUAAAACGAGCGUUUCGCUCCAAAUGUCGUUUUUAUUUUUAUAAAUAGGGGACUUAAAAACGUAUUUACCUUUUUCGAAAAAAAGAUUCUUUUUGAAUUUUUGUAGAAUAUUUUUUUUGUAUUUGAUCAAAUUUUCUUUUUUUGUGGCUUUUUGUUUUUUCUCUAUCACAAAGAAAUAUUUUUAGAAAAAAAUAUAAUAGUAAACGGCCUUUGAACCCUUCUGCUGGACGAGGGUUCGAUUCCCUCCAUCUCCACCA